rnacentral:rRNA from 1 species
CGUAGGACGCAAGCGUUGUUCGGAAUUACUGGGCGUAAAGAGUACGUAGGCGGUUUGAUAAGUCUGAUAUUAAAGACUGGGGCUUAACUUCAGGAGUGUAUCGGAAACUAUCAGACUAGAGGACAAUAGAGGAAGUCGGAAUUCUCAGUGUAGCGGUGAAAUGCGUAGAUAUUGGGAAGAACACCAGUGGCGAAAGCGGACUUCUGGGUUGUUACUGACGCUGAGGUACGAAAGCGUGGGGAGCAAACGGGAUUAGAUACCCCGGUAGUCCACGCUGUAAACGAUGGAUACUAGGUGUAGCCGGUCUCGACCCCGGCUGUGCCGUAGCUAACGCAAUAAGUAUCCCGCCUGGGGAGUAUGGCCGCAAGGUUG